UUGACGGGGCCCGCACAAGCGGUGAGCAUGUGGUUUAAUUCGAAGCAACGCGAAGAACCUUACCAGGUCUUGACAUCCCCUGACAACCCGAGAGAUCGGGCGUUCCCCUUCGGGGGACAGGGUGACAGGUGGUGCAUGGUUGUCGUCAGCUCGUGUCGUGAGAUGUUGGGUUAAGUCCCGCAACGAGCGCAACCCUCGACCUUAGUUGCCAGCAUUCAGUUGGGCACUCUAAGGUGACUGCCGGCUAAAAGUCGGAGGAAGGUGGGGAUGACGUCAAAUCAUCAUGCCCCUUAUGACCUGGGCUACACACGUGCUACAAUGGGCGGUACAAAGGGUCGCGAACCCGCGAGGGGGAGCCAAUCCCAAAAAGCCGCUCUCAGUUCGGAUUGCAGGCUGCAACUCGCCUGCAUGAAGCCGGAAUCGCUAGUAAUCGCGGAUCAGCAUGCCGCGGUGAAUACGUUCCCGGGCCUU
rnacentral:rRNA from 1 species